UCCAGACUCCUACGGGAGGCAGCAGUGGGGGAUAUUGCACAAUGGGGGAAACCCUGAUGCAGCGACGCCGCGUGAGUGAAGAAGUAAUUCGUUACGUAAAGCUCUAUCAGCAGGGAAGAAAAUGACGGUACCUGACUAAGAAGCCCCGGCUAACUACGUGCCAGCAGCCGCGGUAAUACGUAGGGGGCAAGCGUUAUCCGGAAUCACUGGGUGUAAAGGGAGCGUAGACGGCUGUGCAAGCCUGAAGUGAAAGGCGGGGGCCCAACCCCUGGACUGCUUUGGGAACUGUACGGCUGGAGUGCAGGAGAGGUAAGUGGAAUUCCUAGUGUAGCGGUGAAAUGCGUAGAUAUUAGGAGGAACACCAGUGGCGAAGGCGGCUUACUGGACUGUAACUGACGUUGAGGCUCGAAAGCGUGGGGAGCAAACAGGAUUAGAUACCCGUGUAA
rnacentral:rRNA from 1 species